GCCCGAUCCUGUUUUCCUCGCUGAAGUGUUUCUUUCCAUGGGCACAAGCUAUCAAACCUCAACUGCGCCAUUUCAAGAGACCCAGUUACCACUCAGGAACCCACUUCCCACCCUUUCACAAGAAGUCCGAGGAACAUCCGGUGAGAUACAAGCUGCUCGACCAGAGGGGCAGGAUGAAAAAGAUUCAACAUAUUUCUCAGAACUGGAAUAGGAAAUAGAAGAAGAAAGGAAGUUCACACUGCUUUUUGCAAGCUGAUGAAGGACACUGUGUAAUAAUCGUGGAUCAUUUUAAUUCUGCACCAAGUGGGGAGAAAUCCAAGAUGCAAGCAAGUAUAUGAUUUAGCCAAAUAAUUCCAUGGAAGCUUCCAGUAGAACCAUUCUCAAUAGCGUUCCUCAUUGCUGGAAUAUUCUCACAUUUAGGGCUAAAAUAUUGGGCUCUUACUUCAAAUUUUCAAAAGUAAAUCUGCAUACAUAGAAUUACUGUCAAAUUAAGAAUGGUAUAGAUUCUGAGAUUUUAAGAGACCAUUAUGACCAUCUAGUCUGAUCUUCUCCAUAACACAGGGCAUAUAGAACUUCACCCAGUAAUUUCCGCAUUGAACCUAAUAUCAUGUGUGAGGUCCCGCAUAGCCACCUUUAAACGGAUCCUGUUAUGAAUAAGACACCUGACAAUUAUACUACAAUAAGGAUUGAGAAAUAAGUACAAGGAAUGGGAGAUGAACAACUCCCCACUAAUUUCACACAGGAGGGGAAAAAAAGAAAGCACGUUACAAUGCAUGAGGCUUAUUUAGCUUUGUUCAGCUACUAAUAGAUGUUUCUGGCUUUUGGCCCAUUGAUCAAUAUGAAGAUUGGAAUCCAAGUCUAUGAGGCCAUACUCCUCCAAAGCUUUGUAUGUAGGAAGGAACCCCUAGAUUAGAGAAGCUGGGUAGAACAAAUACCUAAUACAGAAGCAAAGCGGUAAGAAUAGGAGAGGCUUGCAGUCUCAUUACACAUGUAUUCAACUUCAGCCUCUUGGUAAAGAGCUUUAAACAGGACCAUAUUAAUCUCUAGUGCUCUAAGAGUUUUCAUUCCUGGAAAUGCUGUCUCUGAAAGGCAUUGUUACAAAUGAUUUAGGUAGUGAAAACUAAUUGGUUGGAGCUGUGACAUUAUCCCUAUUGAUUAUCCCCACUUCAAUAAUACAUGAAAUAUUGAAGUUCCAGGAUCAACAUCACAAGGUGACACAUCUCUUUGGUCCCACAGACAUGCAGGUGUGAUAGCAGAGUUACCCAUCCCGCCUCUUGUCCCAUUUGGCUAUAGGCUACAGAUGUGUUAGUCUGCCUGACAUCAGAAUGGCUACAUUUGAUGUGUAUACAGGGCCGUCCUUAGGCAUAGGCAACAUAGGCAGCUGCGUAGGGCACCUGAAAAUUUGGGGCACCAAUGGGUCUUAGUGUCCAC
rnacentral:lncRNA from 1 species